rnacentral:rRNA from 1 species
GAGUUUGAUCAUGGCUCAGGACGAACGCUGGCGGCGUGCCUAAUACAUGCAAGUCGAGCGCAGGAAGCCAUCUGAACCCUUCGGGGGGACGACGGCGGAAUGAGCGGCGGACGGGUGAGUAACACGUAAAGAACCUGCCCAUAGGUCUGGGAUAACCACGAGAAAUCGGGGCUAAUACCGGAUGUGUCAUCGGACCGCAUGGUCCGCUGAUGAAAGGCGCUUCGGCGUCGCCCAUGGAUGGCUUUGCGGUGCAUUAGCUAGUUGGUGGGGUAACGGCCCACCAAGGCGACGAUGCAUAGCCGACCUGAGAGGGUGAUCGGCCACACUGGGACUGAGACACGGCCCAGACUCCUACGGGAGGCAGCAGUAGGGAAUCUUCCACAAUGGACGAAAGUCUGAUGGAGCAACGCCGCGUGAACGAUGAAGGCUUUCGGGUCGUAAAGUUCUGUUGUAAGGGAAGAACAAGUGCCGCAGGCAAUGGCGGCACCUUGACGGUACCUUGCGAGAAAGCCACGGCUAACUACGUGCCAGCAGCCGCGGUAAUACGUAGGUGGCAAGCGUUGUCCGGAAUUA